AUUGAACGCUGGCGGCAUGCCUUACACAUGCAAGUCGAACGGCAGCACGGGUGCUUGCACCUGGUGGCGAGUGGCGAACGGGUGAGUAAUACAUCGGAACGUACCUUAUCGUGGGGGAUAACGCAGCGAAAGCUGUGCUAAUACCGCAUACGCCCUGAAGGGGAAAGCGGGGGAUCGCAAGACCUCGCGCGAUUAGAGCGGCCGAUGCCUGAUCAGAUUGUUGGUGGGGUAAAAGCCCACCAAGGCGACGAUCAGUAGCUGGUCUGAGAGGACGAUCAGCCACACUGGGACUGAGACACGGCCCAGACUCCUACGGGAGGCAGCAGUGGGGAAUUUUGGACAAUGGGGGCAACCCUGAUCCAGCAAUGCCGCGUGAGUGAAGAAGGCCUUCGGGUUGUAAAGCUCUUUUGUCAGGGAAGAAACACCGGCUCUAACACAGUCUGGGAAUGACGGUACCUGGAGAAUAAGCACCGGCUAACUACGUGCCAGCCGCCGCGGUAA
rnacentral:rRNA from 1 species